rnacentral:tRNA from 1 species
UCCCUGGAGGACUAGUGGUUAGGCCACAGCGCUCUCGUAGCUGCAGCCCAGGUUUGAUUCCCAGCCAUGGAA